rnacentral:rRNA from 1 species
GACGAACGCUGGCGGCGUGCCUAAUACAUGCAAGUAGAACGCUGAAGAGAGGAGCUUGCUCUUCUUGGAUGAGUUGCGAACGGGUGAGUAACGCGUAGGUAACCUGCCUUGUAGCGGGGGAUAACUAUUGGAAACGAUAGCUAAUACCGCAUAACAAUGGAUGACACAUGUCAUUUAUUUGAAAGGGGCAAUUGCUCCACUACAAGAUGGACCUGGGUUGUAUUAGCUAGUAGGUGAGGUAAUGGCUCACCUAGGCGACGAUACAUAGCCGACCUGAGAGGGGGAUCGGCCACCCUGGGACUGAGACACGGCCCCGACUCCCACGGGAGGCAGCAGGAGGGAAUCUUCGGCAAAGGGGGCAACCCUGACCGAGCAACGCCGCGUGAGUGAAGAAGGGUUUCGGAUCGUAAAGCUCUGUUGUAAGUCAAGAACGGGUGUGAGAGUGGAAAGUUCACACUGUGACGGUAGCUUACCAGAAAGGGACGGCUAACUACGUG